rnacentral:rRNA from 1 species
GCUCCAAUAGCGUAUAUUAAAGUUGUUGCGGUUAAAAAGCUCGUAGUUGGAUUUCUGCUGAGGACGACCGGUCCGCCACUGGGUGAGUAUCUGGCUCGCUUGGCAUCUUCUUGGAGAACGUAUCUGCACUUCAUUGUGUGGUGCGGUAACCAGGACUUUUACUUUGAGGAAUUAGAGUGUUUCAAGCAGGCGUGCGCCUU